AAUAAAUCAAUUUCAAUUUAAUUGCUUGCUUGGCUUAGUAUACACUAGGACAUAUUCUUUUUACCAUAUACAAGAUCUGGUAUUUUUUUUCUGACUAAAGAGCACAUGAUCAAUGACUUUUCUGUUUUUUUUUUUUUCUGUAGAUCACAAUUGUGAAAUCAUGAUAAGUGGUUUGUGAAGGGUUAUUUUUGUGGGGAGUUUUGGUUUUCUUUUUCCUUUUCCUUCCUCUUCCAAAACACAUAUAUGUGAAGUCUGGACUCUCCUAGAAUAAACAUGUUACAUGUUGAUAUGUGAAAAAACAGUGUUUUGGAAAUCAGGUUCUUUCAAGACCUUUGGUUCAGUAUGCAUUUGUCCUGGUUACAGAGAGGAAGUGGAGUUUAGAGCCAUAUGGGCAUGGCUAGGUUGCUCUUCUACAUCACCUACAUCAUUGCUGGGGAGUGUAACUUUGGGGAGAAGAAAAGGUGAGCACACCCCUGGAAACAGCACCGUGUCUCCCUCUUCAUUGGAGGGAGUUGCUGGGAUCAUCCUCUGCCACAGCUGCUGCCCAUUCCCUUCCUACUCCUCUGAGACGCAGCUCCAGAAUGUGGUUCUGAAAAGCAGCAAAUGUGGCUCUGGGACGUAACUGAAAAGCAGCAACAGCCCCAUGUAAUGGAGCCCAGCGGAGCAGUCCAAAGCAGUGAUGAAAAAGAGUGGAGCCAAGCUCAGUGUAGCAGUCUGAAGCGGCAGCAUGUUGCAGUGUGGAUUAUUUAGCUUUUAGGGGUUUUUCCCAUAAUUAUUUUCCAUUGUCUCAAGCUCAGGGAUGGGGAGAGCCAAGCGCAGGGAGUGCCUGCCAUCUUGUCUUUGUCCCAGGGGGCCACAUGGACACAGCUGAUACCUGUGACUUAUGAGUAGCAUCUGCCUUCUUGUCUUUGUCCCAGUGGCCACAUGGAACUAAGUUGAGGUGAUGAACACCUUUUGUGUGUAAAGCACCUUUUUUUUUUUACAUGCUUUUGUUAUUAAUAUUGCUGCUGUCACUGUGGAUUUCUUAUUCCAUUGCUGUUUGCUUUCAGUAAAUUAUCUCAACCCAUAGUCUCUGCCUUUGUCCCUCUCUUAUCAAAGGGGGUAGGGGGAAGGGGAGUGCCUUAUUUGGAGUAUAGUUUCAAGCUGGUGUUAAACCACCAUGUUCGAUUGGUGCCCAACAUGAGGCAUGAUAGGGUUGAGAUAACAUCUUUCAUCUAUGCAUUUGUGUAUUAGCUACAAAACUUCCUGGUUACAAGGCUACUCGGUCUGUCCACAUGGUUGUGGUAUCUAACCCUGUAUAUGCUCCCAUAUAUGCAUUAUGUGUCCACAGCAGUGCUCUUUUUCAGAACAGGGAGAGAGAUCAGGAUUGUUUUGUUAUACUGUGUGAUAUCAGUUUAUGCUCUCCUGUCCUGGCUUUGGCUACUCCCUCUGAGAAUUCAUUAAUAAUUGUACCCAGCCUGUGGUGGGAAAAAGAGAGAAUGAUUUUCCCAGCCUUUCACCUACUUCUCUUCCUUCAGGCCUGUUACAACAGCUUUUGAGGAUUUUGAAUUCCCUUUGGAUGUUGAGGAAAGCAUGUUCUUGUUGCUAAGUCUGCCAGGUCUCCUCAAUGUAGUCCACACCAUGUUUAGAGUCAGGACAGAGAUUUCUAGGGAAGUUGUCCCGAGACCUGUCCCAGGGGAUGGAUAGUCAUGAGUGGCAUAGAAUGUGGGAGAAAAUGGACCAGCUUUUGAUGGAGUAUUCUGCUCCAGUGGUUUGGAAGUUUACCCCUGAAAAACUACAGGACCCUGAUAAAGUGGCAGAAUAUUUGA